GUCCUUUCAGGGACAUUGGAUCAAAUUUGAACAGCACAGAAAAGGUUAGCAUGAACCUUGCACAAAGAUGACACACACAAAUAAAGGAAUGGUCCGUUCUUUU
rfam:Hordeum vulgare subsp. vulgare, WGS project CAJW01000000 data, contig: morex_contig_2548599